rnacentral:rRNA from 1 species
UACUAGAGUAGCACUCGCAUAUCAAUAAGCGGAGGAAAAGAAACUAACAAGGAUUCCCCUAGUAACGGCGAGUGAAGCGGGAAGAGCUCAAAUUUGAAAUCUUAAAGGGUUUCCCUUUACGAAUUGUAGUUUAAAGAAGUGUUUUCUGUUGAGGUUUUGGUAAAAGUUCUUUGGAAUAGGACAUCAUAGAGGGUGAGAGUCCCGUAUUUGACCUUUACUUUCAACUUUGUGAUACACUUUCAAGGAGUCGGAUUGUUUGGGAAUGCAGUCCAAAAUGGGUGGUAAAUUUCAUCUAAAGCUAAAUAUUGGCGAGAGACCGAUAGCGAACAAGUACCGUGAGGGAAAGAUGAAAAGAACUUUGAAAGGAGAGUUAAACAGUACGUGAAAUUGUCAAAAGGGAAGCGUUUGACACCAGUGUUGUUUUUCUGAAAAUCAAUUAAAGAACUGUUUAUGCUAAGUUGUUUAGACUUUAUCAGCUAUCUGUUUAGUUUUGAGCUUUUCUUUAAUGCACUUUUCAGUUAACAAGUCAACAUCAAUUUCUUUUGCUGUAAAAAAGCUUGAGGAAGGUGGCUUGAGAUUCGUCUUAAGUGUUUAUAGCCUCUUGCCUAUGCAGUCGGAGAGAUUGAGGUCUGCAGCGUAGAUCCUUCGGGGCUAAAUGCAUUUGUGCUAAGUUAUAGCAUUUUAUAGACAACUUGUUGACUAUGAUUUGUCUUGUAGCUUACUCGCUUAUGUUAUUUUACCUACGCUUAGGAUGUUGAGCGCAUGUCUCUCUC